CGCUGGCGGCGUGCCUAAUACAUGCAAGUCGAACGGCUUUUCUAUGGAAGCUUGCUUCCACUGAGAAGAUAGUGGCGAACGGGUGAGUAACACGUGGGUAACCUGCCCAUAAGAGGGGGAUAACAUCCGGAAACGGGUGCUAAUACCGCAUAGUUUUCUUGAUCGCAUGAUCGGGAAAGGAAAGACGGCCUUUGUGCUGUCGCUUAUGGAUGGACCCGCGGCGUAUUAGUUAGUUGGUGAGGUAACGGCUCACCAAGACGAUGAUACGUAGCCGACCUGAGAGGGUGAUCGGCCACAUUGGGACUGAGACACGGCCCAAACUCCUACGGGAGGCAGCAGUAGGGAAUCUUCCGCAAUGGACGAAAGUCUGACGGAGCAACGCCGCGUGAGUGAAAGAAGGUUUUCGGAUCGUAAAACUCUGUUGUCAGAGAAGAACAAGUUGGAGAGUAACUGCUCCAGCCUUGACGGUAUCUGACCAGAAAGCCACGGCUAACUACGUGCCAGCCGCCGC
rnacentral:rRNA from 1 species